CUUCUAAAAAAAAACAAAGCCCCAUCGAAACCAUUCUGGCGCGGUGUGGGGUAAUUUAUAAGGUUUCAUUGGGUAGAUUGACCUACUUACAAUCGCCCCUAUAAAAACGUUAACGGAUCGGUGUGGGAUUUUAGUUAUUGGGCCGUUAACGUCUUUCCGCUUUCGUGCCGGUGUGGGAUUUCCCCAAUCACGCCAGAACCAACAUGAUGAAAUCUUUAUUAUAACAUAAAAAACAAUAUUAUGAUGUUUUAAAAUGUAGUAUUAAUCGUCUUAAAGCUAAAUGUUGCUUUGAAUCCUUUUUAGUUGAAGAUAUCUACUUGGUAGUCUAAACCUUAAAGGAGCUUAGGGAAGUGAUGGCAUUUGCAGGGUAUGAACCAGACGACCAUGCAGAGACCAACGAGGCGACCAAACAGUCCAUCGUGCAUACCACAUAACCAGGUCCAGAAUGCCAGUUUUCUUUAAGGGCAGCUGACAAUAAGAAUUGUCUAUGUAUGCACUACAGAUGCUGUUCAAUAUCUUUUCAUGAGGAAGCCUGCUCAAAAAGAUCGCCACAUUUUCUUUAGGGGAAGUUGACAUUAAUCUUUUAGGUUAAUAAUAACCUAUGCAUGCAGUACAGAUGCUGUUCAUCUUUUCAUAAGCAAGCCUGCUCAAGAAGCUGCUGCAUGGAAGUCAAAAUAUGAAUUAUUGCCACCAGUCUUGAAGUCAGCUUGUAAAGAAUGCUAAGAAUUGAAUGAAAAUGCUGUCUUGAUAUCUUGUUUGUACUGUUAUAUUUGUCUUUUGUGUUGGUUAAUUAUUCCAUGAAUAAAAAAAAAAAAAAGUUAAUUGUGUAAGUUUGAUUUAAGAAUAAAUGAUCAGAGCAUGCAAGUCUUAUAUAGUACGUUACCAAAAAUUGUAUUGUUUGAUAGUGUUCAAACCCAAAAAUGUAAUUUAACUUGUCCAUUACUUUAUAAAUAUGUUGACAUUAUAGCUAGAUGUAUAUAGAAAUCAUGCACUGAUUCAAUUAUUAUAAUUUCCAAACAAUUAUGUCAAAUAAUUCUAUUCAAAUAAUUCUAUUGCUAGAUCUAAAUCAUCAGUGUGAAAGUAGACCUAUGUAAAAGGUUAAAAAUCUCAUACUAAACCAUUGAGCUGCAUUUGAACAAAAAGGGCAUUAUAAACAAAAAAUCACUAAUGAAUUUGUUUUAAACUACAGUAUUGAAAAACAUUAAAGAUUAUUCCUAAUUAAGCCAUAAUAAAAUUUAAUGAUUGAACCAUCGGAGACAGUAUUUGCAUAAUACCUAAUUGAGCCCUAAUAAAUAUUUCAGUUACUAAACCAUUAGGGCCAGCAUUGGACCGAUAAUGGCACAAUAAGGGUUAUCCCUAAUUGAACCCUAAUUAAUAUUUCAAUUACUAAACCAUUAGGGCCAGCAUUGGACCGAUAAUGGCACAAUAAGGGAUAUCCCUAAUUGAACCCUAAUAAAUAUUUCAGUUACUAAACCAUUUGGGCCAGCAUUGGACCGAUAUUGGCACAAUAAGGGUUAUCCCUAAUUGAACCCUAAUUAAUAUUUCAAUUACUAAACCAUUAGGGCCAGCAUUGGACCGAUAAUGGCACAAUAAGGGUUAUCCCUAAUUGAACCCUAAUAAAUAUUUCAGUUACUAAACCAUUCAGGCCAGCAUCGGACCGAUAUUGGCACAAUAAGGGUUAUCCCUAAUUAAACCCCAAUGAAAAUCUCAGUUACUAAACCAUUGGGGCUAGUAUGGGCUUGAUUAGGGCGCGAUUCUGGAAAUCCCCAAUGAAUCCGGAAGUGGGUUUACCCAUUCUGGGCCGAUAUUGGCACGAUUAGGGUAGCCCGUAUUGGUCCCUUAUGGGAACCUAAUGACGCCAAUGUGCAAACGGUAUGCGCGCCCAUUAGGGCGCGAUUUGGGCUAUUUAGGGCUGCAAUUAGGGCAAAGGGGGAUAACCCUAAUUAAAACUGAUACUGGGCCGUAAUGGGCAUGUUUAUAGGGAUAUGUUAUUUUCCAAAUUUAACUUAGUCAAACAUUAUCUAAUCGAGAAGAUAUAAUGUUAAACCUUAAUUGAAGCUCAAUAUGGACAUUUUAUUAUCAAAUUUUUCAACCAAUAGGGCUUUUUUUUAUUAUUAGUCAAUUCAUGUAAUGCAUAUUAUUAUUUUUUUUACUUCAUUUUAAUUUGAAUAUCAUCAAUAUAUAUAUAUAUAUAUAUAAUUAUUUAUUUAUUUAUAUUGUCUAGAAUCUGUAAGAAAAAUUUGAAGUUAAUGAAUUUCCAAAAAAAUUCAGGGGGGUCUACCGAAAACUGGAAAACAUGGCAAGGGGUCUAUGAGACAGAAAAGUUUGGGAACCACUGGUCUAGAUCUAUUCCAAACUUAAUUACAUGAAUGAUCCAAACUAUUUGAUACAACUACAGCUUUGUUUUGUUUUUUUAAAAAGUAUUUUUAGCGGCUCCCGAAAGAGGAAAAGAUGCUAUUAGUUUUGUGGGAAAGUCUGUCCGUCCGUCCCAUAUAGAUCUCGUAAACUCGAAAAGAUAGUGAAAAUCCGACAUAUUAAUAUUUUCUAAAAGCGAAAAAUCUAAUUUUUAAAAUCACUUGUGCAAGCAGUUUUUUCAUAAAAAUACACCACUUUUACAACUAUUCACUAUUAAUAGUAACAAACAUUGGAGGCUCUUUUGUAGGGGAAAUAACUAUCAUUUCAUAUUUUUAACACAUUUAUGCAAACGGUUUUGGAAUUUUUUUAUGAAUUUUUUUUUUUUUUUUACAUUUUUAUUGCUCUUAGUUAAGUAAGUUUUGUCUACUACAUUUAGGCUACACGAAAA